rnacentral:lncRNA from 1 species
CAGACCCCUCAACAGCUUUGUUGCCCUCCUCUGGACACGCUCCAGGGUCUCAAUGUCUUUCUUACAGUGAGGGGCCCAACGAUGAUCAACACCAUGUGAUAGCAACCACAGCUGUUGCCGAAUCCUUUAAGGGGGCUGUGACCUGGUGGCUUACAGCCUGAAUGUGCUGUGCCAAGUUUCAAUAGGAGGGGAUGAGACUUGGGGCAUAACUUUCUAAUGCUAUUGCUUGACUCACACUGAGAGGAAACUGGACACACAGCUAACUCCAGACUGAGGACAUGUUAAAAUGUAUACCUCCAAAUUGCCUUUCAAUAUUGAUCAUGUCUGUAAGUCUAGUCCCAGGCCAAGAGUGUUAAAAAAGUAGUAUUUCUUCACCUUCUGGCUUAGAAACUCUAUAGCUUGCCAGUAACCAUUUUUCCAAUCACAGUUGAAUUUCUCUGACUCCCAGCUACAGACCAGAACAAAAAAAACAAGGCAUGUUCUAAAAGGUUUGGUGAACAUAAUAUGCACAAUUAAAGUCAGGAGAAUUUGAGAUUUUAAAACAUGCAUGUAUGCUUUGGGUUGGAAAUACAAUGCCUAAUGACUCUUCUCUUUUGUAAUGGCUCAGAUCUUUUGUGGUACAACAUAGUUAUUACAAACAGCUCGAUCAGUCGUAAACCAGUAACUGAUCAGUGGGAUUGGUCGAGUUCAGAAGACCAGUGUGAAGGAUAAUGCAAUCAGGUUAAACACUAAUUAUGUAAGGACUUGCUGUCAGUUUUUCCCUAAAGCAUUUGCAAAUUCAGCAUCACUGGGGAAGAUUAACGUGUGUUAAAGGAAAUACAAGAAGAUUUCUUAACACUCUGUUAACUGCAAGAUGCUUUGCCUUAAGGAAGUUGAACACGCAGGUGGGCACUGGGAAUCUCAUUUGACUGUGGAAGCCACAGGUGUAAGUUAUAAUCAGCCUAAGCAAGGAUUUAUUUGGGGUGGGUGGUGGCAGCAGCCUUAAUCUGGUGUGAAGAAUUAAAGGAAUACAUCUACAGGGUAUUGGGGUGCUGUAGAAUCAGGUCCUAUCCUAGUAACUCAGUCAUAAGUGGGGUACUGAGUAGAGGCUUUCCUUCUGUUUUACUCAAACCACAGUUUUGGUCUCUUCAGACCUUACCACGUGGCUUUUGUGGCUGUGGUAUUAAACAAGUAUAUGUUUUGGCUGGUAAGGAGUGAUGGAUUGGGCCUCUUGGUGAAGAGGUGUUGAAGGGAGUUGAGGCUGAGGGGUGGACUUGGGCUAAACUCAUCUCUGUGCACCACUGGUAAACAUAGGAGUCCUCUGGGACCUUAUGGGGUGGAUGUGGGGGGACUCAGCCCUGGCCUGGCUGGUGCUGAACUGAGACCUGGGGUACAUGGAGCCAUUAGUUCCAUUUGCUAGAGUCGAUGAAUCUCACUCCUUGCCACACAGAAAAUAACAUGAGCUGGAGCAAGAGCUCUGCUUUAGAGUGCUGGGAAAUAAAUACCCAGGGUGGUGCUUGCAUGACUGCCCCUUCGAGUGUGGCUAUGAUCAGUGGUGUGCUGACUAGUGGACUAGAAACUGGCUGCAGGAUCAAACCCAGAGAGUGGUGGUCAAUGGCUCAAUGUCUGGAUGGAGAUCAGUGACCAGUAGUGUUCCUUAGGGAUCAGUACUGGGAUCAGUACUCUUUAAUGUCUUCAUCGGUAACAUUGUCAACAGGAUUUUGAUGCACCCUCAGCAAGUUUGCAAAGGACACCAAGCUGUAUGGUGUAGUGGAUGCUCCUGAAGGAUGAGAUGCCAUUCAGAGGGAUCCAUACAGGCUCAAGCAGUGGGCCCGAGAGAACUUCAUGAGGGUCAACAAAUCCAAAGGUAAGGUCUUGCACCUGGGUUAUGGCAACCCCCACUACAUUUACAAGCUGGAAUAGGAAAAGAGGGAGCAUAGCCCUGCCAGAAAAGGAUUUAGGGGUACUGUGGUAGAUGGCAUCUGGACGUGAGUCAGUAGUGUGCCCUUGCAGCCUAGAAAGUCAACCGUAUCUUAGGUUGCAGCAAAAGAAGCAUGGCCAGCAGGGCAAGGCAGGUGAUCCUGUCCCUUGCUCUAUGCUGGUGAGGCCUCUCCUAGAGUACUACAUCCAAAUGUGCAGUCCUCAGUACAGAGGAGACAUGGACGUUGAAUUGAGUCCAGAGGAAAAUAAUCCAAGGGAUGGAAUGCUUCCCCUACAAGGACGGGCUGAGAACUGGCACUGCUCAGUCUGGAUAUGAGAAGGCUCCAAGGUGACCUGAGAAGAGCUCCCUUCUCAAGGGAGCUCUUAAGAAGAAGGAGACAGAUUCUUUAGUAGGAUCUGUUGUAAUGGGACAAGGGGAAAUAGUUUCAAACUAAAGGAAGGGAGAUUUGGCUUGGAUAUAAAGAAAAAUUCUUUUACAGUGAGGAUGGUGGGGCACUGGAAUGUGCUGCUUAGAGAUAUGGUAGAAGCCCCUUCCCUGGAGACAUUGAGGAGGCUGGACGGGGCUCUGAAUAACCUGAUCUAGCUGUAGGUGUCCCUCUUCAGUGGAGGGGAGUUGGACUAGAUGAGCUUAAAAGGUCUCUUCCAUUAAGUCAGUACACAUGCUGAACAGCCUGCCAGGUGGCAGGUGUGUGAUUGCUGCAUGAUCAACAGCCGAUCACCCAAUGGGAGGCACACAUGCCAUUGGCCCUGAGUAACUGAAGGUGCAUGAGAGCAGAAUGAAGAGGAUAAAGCCUGAAGAGUUCAGUGGUAGAACAGAGACAAUCCUCCACUGAACUGCAGCUGUGCAGAUCAGUGAUAUGUCUUUGACUGACCUGCAACCUCCUGCAAACCAAUGGGAUACUGCUAGAUCCAUGGGGGUGAGUAUCCCUGCUCUAUAGCCAGUUUGCUAGAAUUCCUCCCUUUACUGUUGCUAACUUUGCCAUGUUUCCCACAUUCCUUAACUGCUUAGAAUUUGUCAUAAACUAGCUGGAUGACAUUUGACCUCAUCUGUGUCUUAAUCUCACUCUAGAUUUAUCAUGAACCAUCUCCUCCAACAACUGGAGCAAGACACUGUGUUAUUCGACGCUUCAUCACAGGAAUCUCUGUUCCUGUCGUUGCAGAAGUGGGACUGAUGUUUGAGGUUGUGGUGCUCAGAACUUCCCCAGGGGCUGGAGAGACCUGUAUAUCUAUAUACAUGCAUCUCAGAUCAUUAAACUUCACCAGAGAGCAGAACUCAAGGAAGAAAACCAAUUACUUCACUAUAAGCGCUGAAAGCUGAUACUUCUGUCUCUUCCCCAACAACCCUAAGAGAUAUGGCUCCAAGAAGCACCUCCAAUGCUCAAAAAUACACAUGGAGGGACAACAGUGAAGCAUAUGGUUGCCAGGAAGCUGGGGGUCAGCGCCACAGAGGUUACAAGGUACAGUUAUCUUACCUGAUGCGGUUCAAAUCCUUGUUGGAUAAAGAGGCUGUUAGCCAGGCUUAAAACAUAGUCUUUGCCAAGGUUUUGUAGUUGUAAAAGCAGUGCAUGGAACGCUUCGUGGUUAAGAUUCCCAUCUGUGUUGCACUAGGAAUAUUUCAAACACACCAAUUACAAGUAUUCCUCAGUAUAGCUUUGGUUGUUCAUUUGCAUCCUCAUUAGAUUGCAGCGUAGGGCUAGUUCCCACUGUAAUUAUAUUUAAAUUCAGCUAACCUAAGCUUUGUAACCUGAUCUUCCUUCUGGUGGGGGCUUUGUAUUUGACUUUAUGGAGGACUUGGCUGAUUACAAGGGAACACCUUCAAUCAGGCGUAGUAGACCAGGCAGAUGUUGUGCAUGGGAUCUUGACUCCCUCCUGUGGCAGGCUGUGGUGCUUUACAACUAAUAGGCUACUGUGGAGUGAAAGGACUCUUGUACUACAAAAGACGUACCAGAGAGGGGGAAGACUCUCUUUCCUGGCUUAGUUCAGACUUGUUUUCGGGCACUGCACCUUCAAGCUCAGAUUCAAGGCUUGUAGUUCCUGUGGCAUGGCUGACGUGGAGAACCUGCAGUUGAAGAGGUCAAAUUAAUGGCAAUUUUAACUGGGAUAAAGGCAUUUUCCUUGUUUGAAAGAUUUACUGGGCUGUCCUGGAUAAGUGAUGUAGAUUUAUUAACUAUCAUAGAAAGGUUUGGGUUGGAAGGGACCUCAAAGCCCACUCAGCCCCAACCCCAUGCUGUGGGCAGGGAUGCCACCACCAGCUCAGGUUGCCCAGGGCCCCAUCCAACCUGGCUUUGAGCGCCUCCAGGGAUGGCGCACCACAGCUUCUCUGGGAAGCCUGUGCUGGUGCCUCAUUGCCCUCUGUGUAAAGAAUAUAUGCCUAACAUCUUACCUAAAUUUCCGCUCUUUUAGUUAGACACCAUUCCCCCUUGUUGAGAGUACUCGAUCUCCAUUGCUUUCCUAAACUAAGCAAGAGUCACUCAGAACCUCAUAAGGAGAAUGAGUUUCCCUUGGCAGCAGCUGACCUGUGGCAAUAUUAUAAUACAAUGGAUGAAGAUCCACCAGGACACAGCCAGAGCCAGCUACUGCCUUAUGCCACAUAUACCUUAGGAGUAUUGGUCACUUACUGCUCUCAGAAACAAAUAAGAAAAGAAAUAAAAGAUCUCAGAGCAUACAGCUUGCACUGCAGGGAGUAAAAGGCAUGGUGACCAGAGGAACAGACUUCUGCAUGCCCACCCUGUACCCCCAGGCUCCGUGUGCUCUGUAGGUGAGACAUGUUGAAUCGUUUGAAUGUCACAGUUGAUAAGUGAGCAGGGAUCACAGCACACCAAGCACUGCUCUCAAGGCAGCAGUUGAGCUUGUGUUUAUCUUUGUCUCCUAAGCACACAUGUUGUGCUGCAAAGCCCAGCAUUGCCACUGGGGGAACAGCAGGCUAUGUGGAAGUAUCUCAGAACAUUUCAGCAGUACUUACUUCUUCUAUCUGAGCAGCAGUGUUGUUUCGUGCCCCUAGAAGGAUCAGGCCAAGGGAGGUAGAGAUGCUCAUUGGAGAGAAGACAAUGUUUUGGCCUUUUGCUGUUCUGUUGAGUUUAUUGUAGAGAUCAAGGCAAAACUCAAUAAUCAUUCUAGAAAUGGAGCCCAUUGUGAAGCCUGCAGCUUACUGGGAGCAAAAAGGGAAAGGAGAAAUGUGAAUCAGCUGAUUGCUUAUCUGUAUCAUACUGUGAAGUAUCUGUCCACCCUAAAAUCAUCCCAUAGAUGGUUGCUAAAUAGUAGAAGUGUGCUGAAUUCUGAGUUUGAAAUAGCUGAUUUUGCACACAUCUAUUAAUUCACACUCAUGUGGAUACAGCAGGAUCUGGAAAGGGGCCCCAAUACUCAUACCAUAUGAGAAUUCCUUAGAGAGAAUUGUUUUUCCAUCUUAUCCCACAGUGUAUCUGAUUCCUUCCAAAAGAGAGUUUCCCGUGAUCUGUCUUACUUGUUCUUAUUUGUAAGCAAAAGGUUGUGGUAUUUAAAUCAGUCAGCUGUGGAUUUCCUUCUACAAACUAGUUUAAUGUGUGUCAUCGCAUCAGUUCUUUCCUCUUGUAACAACAUGAUUAGAGACAGAUUGGGGUGACAGAAACUACACGGGCAUCUAACCACAUCUGGUAACCUGAGCUGCAGUGUGAAGGAUUCAAACAACAGAUUCAUGAAAAUAAAAUUACUAGUAAUUAUUUUCAUGUAUGAAGAAGGAACGUAAACAGCUAUGAAUGCUACUACCUAUGGAAACAUGCACUGUUUGCAGUAUACUUCAUGUCUCCUCAUUGAUUUGAUAGGAACCACUGAUUCAGAAUGGAUAACGAAUGGCAAUUUCACAACGAAGCAAUAGCUCAGCAGCCCCAGAAAGUCUGUAAGCUUCCUGUUCAAUGGCAGGACAAGAUCUGUCUCAUUCUUUUCUCUUGUACUGUAAAUACAGCAGUCUGAUGCCUUUCCUAUGGGUCAUUAAAUCCACUCUGGUAAGAAGAAUUUGGGACUAAGUUUCAGCUUGGUCUUUUCAUGAAGAAUGCCAUCUGAAAAAAAAAAAAAAGGCUUUUAAGAAGCCCUUAUCAGUCCUUUAGGGAAAUAACUGUAAAGCUGUUGUGUGGAUAGCAGUGGAGUACUCAAGUUUUUCUCAAAAUAUUGUACCAUAAAACGCACACAUCAAUUUUAGUGUCAAACAAAGGAUGUUCUGGACAGCACACCAGAAAAAUGUAAGAAAAGCAAAGCAUAUGCUCUUGGCUGCUUGCAGACAUAAGUAACUGUGGCCUGUGUUCCAGAAAGAUAUUUUAUUUAGGCAAAAAUACAUAGCACAGUGUGGAGAGAAAGCACUCAGGUCAGGGUGGCUCUAGCUUUCAGCCUGCUCUGGGACAAGAACUACUCAGCGUCCUGCACUGACUGCAAAGAUGUGGAACACACACUGCCUCUCAUUCAGGUAUGAGACAGGCAGGAUCUUUGCAUGACAAGUGGGGGCUCAGGCACCAAAGUUACCAGGGUGUAAGAAGUUGCUAUGGCUCUGCUGAGGUGCAGCAAGUUGUCUGUGCGAGCAGCUUAGCUUGCAGCAAGUGCCAGACAAUGGGAAUGAACUCAGCCCACAAGAAAAAAGGCUUAGCCUAAGAUAAAUUGACAGGAAAGUCAAGUUGCUGAACAUAUGAAGGUGCUGAUAUGUGACAAGUGCAAGCAUUUCUUUCCUUUUACCUAACUUGAAAUAAAAAGUUCAUAUAUGUUUCAUUUUAAGACACUUUUUUCCCCCUGAAGUCCAGUAGUACUUCAUAUGAAGGCCUAACAUAAAUGGGCAGUCAUCCUACCACAAGAAAAACACAUUGCAGUAAUCAUUUCUCUUUUCUUCCACCCUCGUUAGCUAUUAUUCACAACCUUCUGAAAACAAAACUCAGCACUUCUUUCAUGUUAAAGUUUGUGUUGCUCCACUUUCACAGCUGGUAAAAGAUCUAAAAUGGAUCUAAGAGGUUGUUUACUGUGAAUGUAGGUCAGGAUGCAUGUUGUAGGUGUGUCUAGACCUCAGAAGGCGUCGAGGAGACAACAGGAGCUAAUGAACUUCCUCAACAGAAGAGAGGCACCUCCACCCCAACCCACAGGGAAAGAACCAACCACCAAGCACAGAGGGAGAGCAUGAGAGCUGGAAGCAGGUCUUAAAGGCAAGCGUCUGGCAUACAGAGGUGUCCAUGCCUUUAGAAAAAGCAGCAGACUGUAUUCAGAGUGACGUCCAGGUACAACCACUGCCACCAAUUCCGUGGCUUCAUGUGAGCUAUUUACAGGGCUGCCCCAGAAAAGCAAUGCAACAGUGGAGGGAGAAGGGAUGUGGGCUGGAGAAGGAACUUUCUUACUAGAGAACCAAAGGAUUUAGUGAACUUUCUUAAUGGAUAUUUGGAGAGGGAGUAUGUGUAGGUAUGAUUCCACAUAUUAAGCCAUGCUUAUGAUCUCUGUAAUCAUUUGUUGGUGAGUUUUGGAGCCACCGUGAGGGCAGAGUAACUUUGAGAACACCUAGAUGUUGGGCAACAAAUGGAAAUGGUUCUUUUAAAAGAUCUUGGAGUGGGAAGGAGAGAAAAUACAAGAUCAAAAGAAGUGUUCCAGAAAGAUCACAGCUGUUGUUCUGCACCAGACAAACUGUUUGCACAGAACAUUAGCAAUUGUGCAGAGGCAACAAGCAGGGCUGUGGUUUUAUGGCUGAUGAAGGGAGAUGCUUUGCAUGAUGGCUCAGUAGCUGUUAACAGUCUGGGAGAUGGAAUUGCUGGCGUUGUUAUAUGUGAGCAGGGAUCUACCCAGGAAAAGAGCCUCCUUCCGUAGAUACCACUGUAUACCAGAAGUCUUGUAAGGAUAACAAAUUGCUUCCAUGGCUCCGUGAAGUGAAAAAUACUCCUUUUCUAUAGCUGUUCACGCUCUGUUCUCUCUGUAGAGCUUGUUUUAGGCUAAAGAUGAAAUCAAGGCAAAACUUACUGAAGAAUGAAAAGCUGCGCUCAAAGCUAUCAUAAUUAAAAGAUGUGGUAUGUUACAUUAUGCAGUCAACAGGAGGAGGCAGUAAAUAAAAUGCAGAUUCUGAAAGAGUGGUAGCCUGGUUUGUAAGGCAGUUCUAUAUGUAGAAAGGGAAAGCAAGAAGAAACCUGUUUUCCCUGAUGCUGCAUGAUAAUUCCAAUUGCAUACUUACUCUUCUUCUCAUUUAAGUGCUUUAAUAUACAUUUAUUUCUCAUAAGCAAAGGAAGAGAGAAUUGGCAGAAAUGAUAUGUGUCUAUCCUAGAAAAGGAGAACACAACAGAUAAUACAGUGUCCUCACAUGAAAAGCCUGCGGUUGGUAGAAGUUAUUUUUCAUGACCAUUCAUACAAAAACUUUCAAAGUGUUUCUGUGGCUUUUUGGGUUUAAAGGGACGCAACACAUAAGAAAAAUGAAAUUUCCUUUAACACAGAAAUUCGAGUCUUCCCCAUGCAACACAAAGCAUUUCCAAAGCAAUGUGCUUUAAAUUAAAACCCAAUACAUUUCAGCACAAAAUAUCUUUUCAGGAGAAGUGUUGCCAAGUCCAUCUCCCAAGCAACUUAGCCCCUCAUGAUGCUGUUUUUAUACAGGAAAGGGCUUUUCCUGACUGGUUCUAUUAUUUUGCAUCGGUACCUCCAGGAUGUAUCUUUCCUGCUUCUUUCUAGGCUGAUUAUUCCUGCUUGAACAGGAAUGGAUGUACAUUGGCCAUACAGUGGCAAGCUAUUUGUUAUGCCAAUGUGUAGUUACAUAAACUUCUCAGCAAAUUUUUGAACACCGCUGCCAAAGCCAGGAGCAAAUAUGUUGAUAGUGAAGCAUCCCCAUUACCAAAACAAAAUCUGAAGAAUACUCCACCCUUCCUAUUAUAUACAGCCAUUGUUUAAGAACAUAAACAAUCCUAGCAGCAGAGACCAGGGUACAGAGGAAACACCCAAGCACGCAACCAAAGAGUUGCGUGCCCUCUCUUGUCUAGUGAACAUUUCAAGGCUUUUCCUUGUGCUGUGGAAACCUGAGUAAAGAAGGAAAAUUAACCUGUUUCUAUUAAUUUAUGGGUGAGUUUAUCCAGAUGAUCUGCACCAUCGCUUCUCAUAAAGCCCAUUUUUUUAGAGUGAGUUGGGCUGUUCUAAAACAGCCCUUUGACCCUUCUGGAGAUGUAGGCAGCAAAGCAUCUGCAUGUGGUAUAAACCACUCAGUCUGUGGCAGUUAUAGCUCUCCAAGCAGGCAGGGAGAACCGAGGGAAAUUUCAGUCAAAAGUCUGAGGAAUUUAGACAGGCAUCUUUAGAUUCAUAGCUUUGGGCAUGUGUUCCUAAAUUCCCAGCCUCACCCCAGAGAAGACCACCUCCCUUCGUGAAGACCACCCAAAUUUUAGCAGUGUCUUUUGCUCUCUCCAGCCUGUGAAAGUACCUCCCCCUUUGCCCCAUCUAUAAGCAUGAAAUUUACUUUACCAACUUUUAGACUGAUUUGGCCAAAACAACAACAACAACAAGACAAGUUAUUUUUGAAGAGAAAAAUAAUGUUUACCUUCUUGAGCAAGGAGGUCAAAUGAAGAACACAACAGCUGAGCUCUGGAGCACCUUCCUGUGUAUACUCUAUUUUAAAUUUCUUCCACUUUCUUGUGGGAAAAUUCAGUCUCUAGCCAAUUGUUGAUAAAGGCUGCACGUUGUAAUUUCAUGCAAAUGUCAUCCUUCAGUUUCCUGCAGAAGACCAGGAAACCUAUAUCUAGCAAUGUGCUAACAGCAUUUCGCUCAAAGCUGCCCAACUAGUUUGACAGGAGGCAUCCUGGCAACAUCUCCUGACUGCAAAGCCAAGUCGCCCUUAGCUGGAGAACAGCAUUAACACUGGAGAUCCAUGGCUGUGGUGCUGUGUGUAGUUCCUUUUGAAUUUGGUGGUGUCAGGACUUGAACACUGGGGUGUGCAGGGUUCUUGCUAGGAUUUAGAGAUCCCUUGUUUGGGGCUGAGCUUGCUUGCAGAAAUAGAGCAAAUGAAUAGGAAAUGCAUGUGCUUUAUGUUGCCUACAGGUAGUAGGCACGCAUUCAGGUACAGAGCCAGCUUUCUGUGAGUGGAAGGAUUUUAAUUAGAGAGAGGAAGAAGUAUUUCCUUGAUCUGUAACAGGAAUCCCCACCCAGGGGGUAUUCUUUUAAAUCACUGGAGCUAAGAAUAGGAGUCCAAGAGAGGCUGAUCACAUGGGGUUAUGUCCCCAACAUGCAGUGAGAUGCAAAGAAAGAGAUGGGAAGCACAAAUCUGCACACAGUAUCAGAUCUCCUCAGUAAUAUUUUCCUUCUUUUCACUUUUUUUCUGUUCCAUUUGGAUUCGCUUUGUUGUUUGCUUUUCCUUUCUGCAUAUUUCUUCAGACUUCUUAGUCAUUUGUUCCUGCCUCUUUAUCUUUUUCUUUCUUUCUGCCUAUUGCCUUUCCCAUUCCAUUCUCCAUUUUUUCUUCUGCUGCUUUUGUGAGUCCUAGCCACUUUUCAGUGCCAUUUUUGAAUACCUUUCACUGCUUUCGUUCUUCCAAACUCUGUGCUUUCUCCCUCCCUUUUACACUGACGUCGUUCCUCCACUCAUUUCUUUGAUUUGCUCUCUAUAUCUCCUUAGAGCUUCUUUGCAAUCUGUUUCACUGCUUUGCCUCAGAACAUUAUACCGUAUGUGCAAAUUCUGACCCUUCUAAGGCCGUUAGGAUGGAAUCAUAGAAUUGUAGAGGUUGGAAGGGACCUCUGGAGAUUACUGAGUUCAACUCACUCCUACAGAAGCUCCCUAGAGUAGGUUGCACAGGAAAGCAUCCAGGCAGGUUUUGAAUAUUUCCAGAGAAGGAGACUCCACAACCUCUCCGGGCAGCCUGUUCCAGUCCUCUGUUACCCUCAAAGUAGAGAAGUACUUCCUCUUGUUGGUGUUGAAUUUUCGCCCAUUUCCUGUCACAGGAUACCAAAAGGAGCCUGGCCCUAUUCACUUGGCUUCUGCCCUUUAAGUAUUUGUAAUCACUGAUAUGAUCCCCCUUCAGCCUUAUCUUCUCCAGUCUGGAAAACCCAAGGUUUCUCAGUCUUUUCUCACAAGGGAGAUGCUACAGGACCCCAGGCAUCUUUGUGGCCCUCUGCUGGACUCUCUCUCCAGUAGCUCCCUGACUUUUUUGAACUGAGGAGCCCAGAAAUGGAC